GAUGAACGCUGGCGGCGUGCUUAACACAUGCAAGUCGAACGAUGAACGAGGGAGCUUGCUCCCUCCGGAUUAGUGGCGAACGGGUGAGUAACACGUGAGCAAUCUGCCCCGAACUCUGGGAUAAGCGUUGGAAACGACAUCUAAUACCGGAUACGACGCGCGAAGGCAUCUUCUGCGCGUGGAAAGAAUUUCGGUUCGGGAUGAGCUCGCGGCCUAUCAGCUAGUUGGUGAGGUAACGGCUCACCAAGGCGACGACGGGUAGCCGGCCUGAGAGGGUGACCGGCCACACUGGGACUGAGACACGGCCCAGACUCCUACGGGAGGCAGCAGUGGGGAAUAUUGCACAAUGGGCGCAAGCCUGAUGCAGCAACGCCGCGUGAGGGACGACGGCCUUCGGGUUGUAAACCCCUUUCAGGAGGGACGAAGGUCACACGGUUAAUAGCCGGCGUGACUGACGGUACCUCCAGAAGAAGCCCCGGCUAACUACGUGCCAGCCGCCGCCGUAAUAC
rnacentral:rRNA from 1 species